CUCUGGGAACCAAAGCUGUGCCAGGCCAUGCUACCCUUGUCUAUACAUACCCUUUUGUUAUUUCCCUCGGUGGGGCAACCUGCCGCUGAGGACAAUUAAACCCUUUGUACCAAGUAUCAAAUCAUCUGAAACAAAAUUAAAUAAUUACAACUUUUAACAAUGGAUCUCUUGGUUCUGGCAUCGAUGAAGAACGCAGCGAAAUGCGAUAAGUAGUGUGAAUUGCAGACUUUAGUGAAUCAUCGAAUCUUUGAACGCACAUUGCGCCCCUUGGUAUUCCAUUGGGCAUGCCUGUUCGAGCGUCAUUUACACCCUCAAGCUCUGCUUGGUGUUGAGCGUCUGUCCUUGCCUUGUGCAAAGACUCGCUCUAAAUGUAUUGGCAGCGGCAUCGCCAGCUUCUUGCGCAGCACAUUGCGCUCUAAGAUUUUGGUGAGCUUGCAUCCAUUAAGAACCCCCCAAGUUUGACCUCGAAUCAGGUAGGGAUACCCGCUGAACUUAAGCAUAUCAAUAAGCGGAGGAA
rnacentral:rRNA from 1 species